GAGACUUAGAGUCUCCUGAAGGAACGUUGAAGACGACGACGUUGAUAGGCCGGGUGUGUAAGCGCAGCGAUGCGUUGAGCUAACCGGUACUAAUGAACCGUGAGGCUUAACCUU
rnacentral:rRNA from 1 species